rnacentral:lncRNA from 1 species
AUGCAGGAAAACUGUUUACAAACAGAAAAUGAAAUAAAAGAGUUAAUCAGACGCUCCUGUUCGACUGUUUGGGUCUCAAUACACUUUAGGAAACACACACACACACCUCAUCACCUCAUCACACACACACACACACACACACACAACCCAUCACACACACACCACACACACACACACCCUCAUCACACACACACACACACAACCCAUCACCUCAUCACCUCAUCACACACACACACACACACACACACACCCAUCACCUCAUCACACACACACACAACCCAUCACCUCAUCACACACACACCUCAUCACACACACACACCUCAUCACCUCAUCACACACACACACACACAACCCAUCACCUCAUCACACACACACACACAACCCAUCACCUCAUCACACACACACACACAACUCAUCACCUCAUCACACACACACACACACACAACUCAUCACCUCAUCACACACACCCAUCACCUCAUCUCUCACACACACACACACACACCCGUCACCUCAUCUCACACACACACACACACAACUCAUCACCUCAUCACACACACACACCUCAUCACACACACACACAACCCAUCACCUCAUCACACACACACACACACACACACACACAACCAUCACCUAAUCACCACACACACACACACACACACAACCCAUCACCUUAUCACACACACACCUCAUCACACACACACAACCCAUCACCUCAUCACACACACACACACACACACACACAACCCAUCACCUUAUCACACACACACCUCAUCACACACACACCCAUCACCUCAUCUCGCACAUACACACACAACUCAUCACCUCAUCUCACACAUACACACACAACCCAUCACCUCAUCACACACACACACACACAACCCAUCACCUUAUCACACACACACACCUCAUCACACACACACACACCUCAUCACACACACACACAACUCAUCACACACACACACCUCAUCACACACGCACACACAACUCAUCACACACACCUCAUCACACACACACCUCUUCACACACAACUCAUCACACACACACACACACACACCUCAUCACACACACACAACCCAUCACCUCAUCACACACACACACACACAACUCAUCACACACACACACACACCCAUCACCUCAUCACACACACACACACAACCCAUCACCUCAUCACACACACACACAACCCAUCACCUCAUCACACACACACACACAACCCAUCACCUCAUCACACACACACACAGAGAAACAGGUACGUUUGUGUAA